CUUUAUCUGAAAUGUCCUCCCUGGCUCAACUUCCUUUUACAACCAUAUCUCCCCUUCCCUCACCCUGAGCUUUUACUCUCCAUUCUUCUCCUACCCUCUUCUCUCUGACAGUUUCAUUUCCUCUUUGCAUACAGAUUCUACCACCAUCCGGUGGGUGCUAGUUGAGAUGUAAGUGGCGUGGGGCUAUCAGAGGCAGUGCCUCUGCUAGAUUACCCUGGGCCUAGGCUUCAUCCCUGUGGGUCCUGAAUAGAGACUUUCCCAAGACGCUUAGAAAUAAACAGUGACAUUGCCUUAAAAGCGGGGGCUGAGGAGGGGUUGCCAGAGAGAGGGAAGAAGAACCAGG
rnacentral:lncRNA from 10 species